GUGAAAGGAGCCUCGCUGAGCUCUGAGAGAAGAACCCCCCCCCCGUCAGUCUGCAGAAACACUUAGUUCGUAGUAAAUGUACUCAUAAUUGGCUUCAUCAUUCAGCUUGUCGUUAGGGUUGGAGGCACUCAAGUCAUCGGAGUCAAGCCCAAAGCAUCACAGGGACAGGAUCACCACAGCGAGUGCAAGAAGGCAAAGACGUCUCCCGGCCAGAUGCAGUAAUACCACAUGUUUAGACCGGAUGCUGGAAGGAAACUUUCUGCACUGAAAUUGAACUUGAGCCAAUUCAACAGUGUGGAUGAGUGCACGCUGGAAAGGAGGUAGCUAUUUUUUUUUUUUUUUUUUUUUUACAGACAAUGACAAACAGUGAAAGUGUUGACUGUCUCUCUCCAGGAACCGGAGGCAAACAGCAGUAAUCACAGAGGGGCACGAUGGGCCGGCGCCGAGGCUUCACAUCCCAGCGACCCGCACCCGCAGCCACCGGGCCCGCGGACCGCCGCCCUCAUCUACCGCAACGCUUACCGAGAUUAAAAUAAUACGCAGCUGGAGGCUGGGAGUCAUUUGUAGGAGCUCUGCUCUCAUUGCCGUCUCCUUGCAGGGCUUUUUUUUUUCCCGGUUUGGAAGCUGAGGCUGUCCCUCUCCCGCGACCCCAGGGUGGCAGUCUGUCAGAACGGACUGACACCAAACCAAUGUCUAAUGGCUCUUAAGCCAUAAAUAUGGCCACAGAGCUGACAGCCUGGAUCUACACUUCCCCAUUAUCUUGAUUCAUUCCACC